CUUCGGCAAUGGACGAAAGUCUGACCGAGCAACGCCGCGUGAGUGAAGAAGGUUUUCGGAUCGUAAAACUCUGUUGGUAGAGAAGAACGUUGGUGAGAGUGGAAAGCUCAUCAAGUGACGGUAACUACCCAGAAAGGGACGGCUAACUACGUGCCAGCAGCCGCGGUAAUACGUAGGUCCCGAGCGUUGUCCGGAUUUAUUGGGCGUAAAGCGAGCGCAGGUGGUUUAUUAAGUCUGGUGUAAAAGGCAGUGGCUCAACCAUUGUAUGCAUUGGAAACUGGUAGACUUGAGUGCAGGAGAGGAGAGUGGAAUUCCAUGUGUAGCGGUGAAAUGCGUAGAUAUAUGGAGGAACACCGGUGGCGAAAGCGGCUCUCUGGCCUGUAACUGACACUGAGGCUCGAAAGCGUGGGGAGCAAACAGGAUUAGAUACCCUGGUAGUCCACGCCGUAAACGAUGAGUGCUAGAUGUAGGGAGCUAUAAGUUCUCUGUAUCGCAGCUAACGCAAUAAGCACUCCGCCUGGGGAGUACGACCGCAAGGUUGAAACUCAAAGGAAUUGACGGGGGCCCGCACAAG
rnacentral:rRNA from 1 species